rnacentral:miRNA from 1 species
GAGGCGGAUGAGGAGGUUGAAUA